UCAAGUCACGCCUUAGAUUUGCACCAUUUCAAGGACCAAGAAGUCAGCACACAACUUCCAUCACUCACUAUCUCAAACACUCCCUUUAGUACUAUAUUCUACAAGUAGUACAACAAAUGCAUGCAUGCGAACCAAUAUGCUGAUGCUGCUACUACCUAAUACCAUAUCAAGAAGCAACAACACAAUCAAAAGCAUAUUUGACAACAACAUUCCACCAAACAAUGUAAUACAAACACAUAUCAUUACACAUAUAAUAUCACACAGCUGCGAAGCACACCGAAUAUACUAUUACAUAGGAAAUAAAUACAUCAAAGGAGUUCACACAUGGAGCUCAGGAGUUCACACAUGGAGCUCAGCUGUUAUAAAUAGAUAGUGCAGUCGAAAGCUCCUCGAGCAAUCCAUUUGUAAGAGCUUCAGACAGGGAAUGAGAUUCAUUCACCCCACAAUAAGUGAACAAAACAGGAUUACAUAAAAGUAAGAAAGCGAGAGUUUGGGUCCAACUCACCCACCGGGCGUGCAUUCUUUUUCCUUUGUGGGGUUUGCUUUCUGGUCUACG
rnacentral:lncRNA from 1 species